AGUGAACGCUGGCGGCAGGCCUAAUACAUGCAAGUCGAACGGCAGCACAGUGGAGCUUGCUCCAUGGGUGGCGAGUGGCGGACGGGUGAGGAAUACAUGGGAAUCUGCCCAGUCGUGGGGGAUAACGUAGGGAAACUUACGCUAAUACCGCAUGCGUCCUUCGGGGGAAAGCCGGGGACCUUCGGGCCUGGCGCGGUUGGAUGAGCCCAUGUUCGCUUAGCUAGUUGGCGGGGUAAAGGCCCACCAAGGCGACGAGCGAUAGCUGGUGUGAGAGGAUGAUCAGCCGCACUGGGACUGAGACACGGCCCAGGCUCCUGCGGGAGGGAGCAGUAGGGAAUGUUGGACAGUGGGCGCAAGCCUGAUCCAGCCAUGCCGCGUGAGUGAAGAAGGCGCUCGGGUUGUAAAGCUCGUUUGUCCGGGAAGAAAAGCAUCGGGCUGAUACCUCGGUGUUCUGACGGUACCGGAAGAAUAAGCACCGGCUAACUUCGUG
rnacentral:rRNA from 1 species